GGCGCGGGCCCGGCCGCCCUGGGCUUCGGGAGCUGCAAAGCCCGGGAGCUCUUUCCCCCUCCGAGAACGUUAAUUGACCCCGGUAGGGACCCGUAGGGUAAAGGUUCUUUAAGGGAAGUGUGAGCCGGGGGCCUCUGGGGCCUCUGGGAAGUUGCGGCAAAAUUCAGGCUAGGCCACGAGGCUCGGAUGUGAGAGCCGCGGAGACAGAGAACCACAAAGCAGGAGCGCAAAGAAUAGAGUUGAGAGGGAGUCGGGAAAGCCCGGAUAAAAGCCGUCCGGCCGGGACUUCCUGCGGUCGGGGUCUAAUGCCUGCCGGAAACGGACUUCCCCUUCUGGGUUACGCGCGUCCCGCCCCCACCACGGGGCGACCGAGAUGAAGGGAAUUGUGCCCUGCGGCUUUCCGUACCGCGGCUGGCGUCCGUCCCCGCUUCCCUGCUCCGCCGGGCGCCGGCGCCUGAGCCGGAAGCACAACUCGGAACGGUGCGCGGCGCUCCCGGGAGCGGAGCCGUCGGCGCGGAGGCCUCGGAGGCUCCCCGGGAGGCCGGCCGCAGCCCCUCUUCGCGGAGCGCCCCCGCAAGUAACGCUCGUUCUGUCUUCCCUCUCGCAUUACUUUCGAUGACACGUGAGAGCGUGUUUCGGAGGGUAGAAAAGUGUGCGAGUAAUGGGGCCGCCUUUGAGGACCCGACGGACCCGCACUUUUGCCGUGUCAAGCCCCUGUGUUCGCAGGUAGCUGUGGACAGAGUUGCUGUGACGUUGGCUACAUGGCUGCCCUUUCGCGUCCCUGGGUCUAUGCAGGAGGAGGCUACAGAUGAAUAGGUUGGGACCUGAGAGCGUGUCGAAGAAACAGUCUCCUAUGGAAACACUGUUUGGAAAUGACAGUCAGCAACCUUGAUUCACUAAACUUUGAGCGACUUGAGGGGAGGCUCUGUGCACCCAGAUGAGACACAAGAUCAACCAAUUUGUGGGGUCCUCAGCCCUCAAAGCAGGGACCAGAGCACAUCUUUGGCCAGACACGGUUUCCUUCCGGCUCCGUGACUCCCUCACUGCUCAGCCCUGGUCAAGUCCAUGUUUCCUCUGGGCGCUCAGUGUGCUCAGUGUAUUCAGAGGCAUCCAUCUUCUAUGCUGAAUAGCAAGCUCUGUGAGGGCUGGGACCUGAUCACCAAUGCUUGGAAUGUGCCUGACACCCUGUUAAUAUAUCUCUUCAUUGGGAUCCCCGGGUGGCUCAGCGGUUUAGCGCCUGCCUUUGGCCCAGGGUGUGAUCCUGGAGACCCGGGAUCGAGUCCCACGUCAGGCUCCCGGCAUGGAGCCUGCUUCUCCCUCCUCUGUGUC